AGCAGCCGCGGUAAUUCCAGCUCCAAUAGCGUAUAUUAAAGUUGUUGCAGUUAAAAAGCUCGUAGUUGAAUUUCGGGAUCAAUACGUCGGUCGUGCUUCGGUACGUACUGGCGUCAUUGAUUUCUCCCUUCUGACGAACCAUGAUGUCAUUAACUUGGUGUCAUGGGAAAUCAGGACUGUUACUUUGAAAAAAUUAGAGUGUUUAAAGCAGGCUCACGCUUGAAUACAUUAGCAUGGAAUAAUGAAAUAGGACGUUCGAUCCUAUUUUGUUGGUUUCUAGGAUUGACGUAAUGAUUAAUAGGGAUAGUUGGGGGCAUUAGUAUUCAAUUGUCAGAGGUGAAAUUCUUGGAUUUAUUGAAGACUAACUACUGCGAAAGCAUUUGCCAAGGAUGUUUUCAUUAAUCAAGAACGAAAGUUAGGGGAUCGAAGACGAUCAGAUACCGUCGUAGUCUUAACCAUAAACUAUGCCGACUAGGGAUCGGAUGAUGUUAAUUUUUUAA
rnacentral:rRNA from 1 species